GGAGCUGUAGUUCAGUGGUAAAACAUCUGCUUUAUGUGCAGGGGGCCCCAGGUUCAAAUCCUGACAUCUCCA